GACAGAGGGUGCAAACGUUGUUCGGAAUUACUGGGCGUAAAGCGUGUGUAGGCGGCCUCGUAGGUCGGAUGUGAAAGCUCUCGGCUCAACCGGGAAAGUGCAUUCGAAACCACAAGGCUUGAGUGUCGGAGAGGAAGGCGGAAUUGUCGGUGUAGAGGUGAAAUUCGUAGAUAUCGACAGGAACACCUGCGGCGAAAGCGGCCUUCUGGACGAACACUGACGCUGAGACACGAAAAGCGUGGGGAGCAAACAGGG
rnacentral:rRNA from 1 species